UACAGAGGGUGCAAGCGUUGUUCGGAAUUAUUGGGCGUAAAGCGCGCGCAGGCGGUCCUUUAAGUCUGAUGUGAAAGCCCUCGGCUCAACCGAGGAGGGUCAUUGGAAACUGGAGGACUUGAGUGCAGAAGAGGAAAGUGGAAUUCCAAGUGUAGCGGUGAAAUGCGUAGAGAUUUGGAGGAACACCAGUGGCGAAGGCGACUUUCUGGUCUGUAACUGACGCUGAGGCGCGAAAGCGUGGGGAGCAAACAGG
rnacentral:rRNA from 1 species